rnacentral:rRNA from 1 species
GAUGAACGCUGGCGGCGUGCCUAAUACAUGCAAGUCGAGCGAACAGACGAGGAGCUUGCUCCUUUGACGUUAGCGGCGGACGGGUGAGUAACACGUAGGUCACCUACCUAUAAGACUGGGAUAACUUCGGGAAACCGGAGCCAAUACCGGAUAAUAUUUCGAACCGCAUGGUUCGAUAGUGAAAGAUGGCUUUGCUAUCACUUAUAGAUGGACCUGCGCCGUAUUAGCUAGUUGGUAAGGUAACGGCUUACCAAGGCAACGAUACGUAGCCGACCUGAGAGGGUGAUCGGCCACACUGGAACUGAGACACGGUCCAGACUCCUACGGGAGGCAGCAGUAGGGAAUCUUCCGCAAUGGGCGAAAGCCUGACGGAGCAACGCCGCGUGAGCGAUGAAGGUCUUCGGAUCGUAAAACUCUGUUAUUAGGGAAGAACAAACGUGUAAGUAACUGUGCACGUCUUGACGGUACCUAAUCAGAAAGCCACGGCUAACUACGUG